AGAAAGAGAGAGAAAGAGAGUUGAAUGGUAGAAGUGAUUUCUCUCGACAUGAAGUGCGGGUUUUUCCCCUACAAACUGUACGAAACGAACACGUUAAUUACAUCUUGCAAUCUUUUCUAACUAUGGUUAGAUGGCUUACGUAAUACACGGCGCCGUUAUUGACUCAAACCGAGAGAAUAAAAAGAAUGAAAGAAAGAAAGAAAGAAAAACUUCUACGUCCAUAUUUUUCUUCGUGGUAUCCUUCCUUAUCGAUAUACACGAUGGCGAUACUUGAUCACUAAAUAAAAACAGAAAGAGAGAGAAAGAGAAA